rnacentral:rRNA from 1 species
GAUGAACGCUGGCGGCGUGCCUAAUACAUGCAAGUCGAGCGAACAGAUGGGAAGCUGUGUCCUCUGACUUUGGCAGCGGACGGGAGCUGAACACGUGGACAACAUAACUAUAGGACUCGGUUACCUUCAGCAAACCUGACCUAAUACCAGAUAAUAUAUUGAACCACAUGGUUCAAUAGUGAAAUACGGUUUUGCUGACACUUAUACAUGGCACCGCGCCGCAUUAGAUAUUUGGUAAGGUAACGGCUUACCACGGCAACGAUGCGUAGCCGACCUGAGAGGGUGAUCGGCCACACUGGAACGGAUACACGGUCCAGACUCCUACGGGAGGCAGCAGUAGGGAAUAUUCCGCGAUGGGCGGAAGACUGACGGAGAAAGGCCGCGUGAGUGAUGAAGGUCUUCGGAUCGUAAAACUCUGUUAUUAGGGAAGAACAAAUGUGUAAGUAAGGAUGCACGUCUUGACGGUACCUAAGCAGAAAGCCACGGCUAACUACGUG